rfam:Candidatus Hodgkinia cicadicola Dsem, complete genome.
GAGGAUAAGAGUUUGAUCCUGGCUCAGAACGAAUGCUGGCGGCAGGCUUAACACAUGCAAGUCGAGCGGGUGCUCGCCACCAGUGGUGGGCGCUAGCGGCGAACGGGUGAGUAACGCGUGAGAAUCUGCCUUACUCUACGUGAUAACGCAGGGAAGCUUGCGUCAAUAACGUAUGAUUCCUGAAUCAGGUAAAGAGCUGUUGGAGUAAGAUGAGCUUGCGUUAGAUUAGCUAGUUGGUGGGGUAAAGGCCUACCAAGGCGACGAUCUAUAGCUGGUCUGGGAGGACGGUCAGCCACAUUGGGACUGAGACAAGGCCCAAACUUCUACGGGAGGCAGCAGUGGGGAAUAUUGGACAAUGGGCGAAAGCCUGAUCCAGCCAUGUCGCGUGAGUGAAGAAGGUUUAAUAAGUGAACUGUAAAACUCUUUUGUCGGUGACCAUAGUGAUGGUAGCUGACGAAUAAGCUCCGGCUAACUUCGUGCCAGCAGCCGCGGUAAGACGAGGGGAGCGAGUGUUGUUCGGUUUUAUUGGGCGUAAAGGGCGCGUAGGCGGCUUUUUAAGUUGACGGCCAAAGCUUGAAGCUCAACUUCAUGACGCUGUCAAAACUGCUAAGCUAGAGCUGGAUGGGGGCGAGCGGAAUUCCGAGUGUAGAGGUGAAAUUCGUAGAUAUUUGGAAGACCACCAGAGGCGAAGGCGGCUCGCUACGUCUUGCUGACGCUAAUGCGCGAAAGCGUGGGGAGCAAACAGGAUUAGAUACCCUGGUAGUCCACGCCGUAAACGAUGAGUGCUAGCAGUGGGCGCUGCUCGCGCGUUGCGCGUUCGUGCGCGACGCCACAGCGCUAUUGCACAGCUAACGCGUUAAGCACUCCGCCUGGGGAGUACGACCGCAAGGUUAAAACUCAAAGGAAUUGACGGGGACCCGCACAAGCGGUGGAGCAUGUGGUUUAAUUCGAAGCUACGCGUAGAACCUUACCAGCUCUUGACAUUUCAGGUCGAAGCGGCCGUAAAUGGGCGUUUUCAACCAACAUUCUUGAAAGAAUGGACUUGAAACAGGUGCUGCAUGGCUGUCGUCAGCUCGUGUCGUGAGAUGUAUGGUUAAGUCCUGUAACGAGCGCAACCCUUGCCCUUAGUUGCUUAAAGCGAUGCUAGCUCUCUAAGGGGACCGCUAAUGACAAAUUAGAGGAAGGAAAGGAUGACGUCAAGUCUUCAUGGCCUUUAUGGGCUGGGCUACACACGUGCUACAAUGGUGGCCACAGAGAGUCGCAGAGUCGCGAGGCCGAGCUAAUCUUUAAAAGCCAUCUCAGUCCAGAUUGCACUCUGCAACUCGAGUGCAUGAAGCAGGAAUCGCUAGUAAUCGCGGAUCAGCAUGCCGCGGUGAAUACGUUCUCGGGUCUUGUACACACCGCCCGUCACACCAUGGGAGUUGGCUUUGCUCUAAGCCGUCGCUUUGGCGCGGUCACAGUGGAGUUAACGACUGGGGUGAAGUCGUAACAAGGUAGCUGUAGGGGAACCUGUGGCUGAAACUUUUGAAAU